CAGCGGGGCCGGGCCGGCGCGAUCCUUCGAAUAUCAGCGGUUUGGGAUCGGCACCCGGCUAGACCUGGAGCCUCGGCAGCGAUGCAGGAGAUGAAGACGGACACGAUUCCCCAGCCACGGUGACCAGCACCAAGGUUUGUCCUGAUCCCGUCAAUGAUCUGUCCCAGCUCCAGGACUGCAGUGUCUUCAUCAGAAUUAUCCACAAAAUCCACAGGAGCAAGGAGGGGGAGUCUGUGCUGGAGCAGCCCCUGCCAGAGAGGAUCUCCUUCAUCCAUGGUUUCCUGCAGAAGAACGUGGUCUCUGUACGAAACUCAUGGACAGGAGAGAGGCCAGGAUGAAGUGACUGAAUGUGAUAUUGAAGAAGGCAACCACUGACUGAUCCAGCUGUUUGUCUCUGCACGGUCACACGGAGGAUGGCCUUGGGACAGCCCACGCUUCAAAAGAUGAGUCUGGACUCUUCAGAUUUUCAGUCCUUGAUGUUGUUUAUUAUUCCUUAUCUACAAAAUUUUCUUCCAGCCCGACAGAGGUCUGACUAGCAAGGCAGCCAAGGGCACUCUGACCUCCCACUGGGAGAUCAUCUAUUUUUAUACUAAAAACUACGUAUAUCAUAUUUACCUUUAUUUCCCAAUACCUUUCACCCAUGUUAGCAAGUGCACC